rnacentral:tRNA from 1 species
UAGAAUAAAGUUUAGUGGUAAAACCCUAGGCUUACAAGCUGACGAUGCGGGUUCGAUUCGCGCUACUCGCU